GCUGGGUGUGGUGGUGUGCACCUUCAGUCCCAGCUACUCAGGAGGCUGAGGUGGGAGGAUUGCUUGAACCCAGGGAUUUGAGGCUGCAGUGAGCUAGGAUUGUGCCACUGCACUCCAGCCUGAGUGACAGAGCAAGACCCCAUCUCAA
rnacentral:SRP_RNA from 1 species